rnacentral:misc_RNA from 1 species
GAUGAAGAACGCAGCGAAAUGCGAUACUUGGUGUGAAUUGCAGAAUCCCGUGAACCAUCGAGUCUUUGAACGCAAGUUGCGCCCGAAGCCAUCAGGUUGAGGGCACGUCUGCCUGGGCGUCACAUAUCGUUGCUCGAUGCCUAUCGCAUUGCGAUAGGACUUAGGGCGAAUGAUGGCUUCCCGUGAGCGUUGUUGCCUCGCGGUUGGUUGAAAAUCGAGUGCAUGGUGUCGGGUGUACCAUGAUGGAUGGUGGUUGAGUGAUGAUGCUCGAGACCAAUCAUGGGUAACUCCACCAGAAUUGGGCUCGGUGACCCACAUGCGCCCCUUGGAUGCUCCCUAAGGAGACCUCAGGUCAGGCGGGGCUACCCGCUGAGUUUAAGCAUAUCAAUAAGCGGAGGA